rnacentral:lncRNA from 1 species
ACACUUAAAGAAGGUCUCAAACAACUAUAAUAAUUUUCGAGCAGAUAGCCAGAUAUAUAGUACUCCAUCUCCAUAUAUAAUGCUACUACAAAUUUUUGAGAGCCCCAACCACAAUAUUUAUUAAUUCAAUAAACACAACAUAAUAUAAAUACAGAGAGACAUUCACUUUUAGGGUUUCAGCCGCUACCUUUGAAUUCUAGAGUGUUCUCCACUUCUCCCAAAAUUCUCUCUCAUUAGAUCCGCCCUUCUCACUUUGCAGAUCCAACCAUCCAUACAUCUUCUACAAUUCAAGUCUUCUCCACAAGCCACGCAGCUGCAACCGCUCCACGCGUCGUCACCUCCCUUCUCGACGACGAUAAAUGCGCCGCCGUUUUCCUCUGCACAGCCCGCAGCCGCCGCCGUCCGGUUUCAUAUGAUGUAACCUUAGAGGCGGGAUCCUCCACCACUGUACGAAGAUUUGGUGGCAUUGCCUCGUUAGCGCCUCCCUCAACAACAAUAAAUUCGCCGCCGCCUCCCUCUGCACAGCCCGUAUCCAGCCGCCGCCGUCCGGGUUUCAAACGACGGCGUCGCCCUUCAGAUCUCGGCCUUCUCCCUCAUCUGCAUAAGAUCUUAUUUUUUUUUCGUUUAUUAGUGUUGUCGUUUUUUAUUUUUAUUUUUUGUUUUGUUUUUAUAGUCUAUCUAUUUUUGUAGUAUCUGAAUAUCUAUUUUAGUAAAAGUAAAAGUUUUUUUUUUUUUUUUUUGCAGAUAGCUUUUUUUUUAAUACCAUGGAAGAUAUAUUUUUUAGCAUACGUAUUAGUUUUUUCGUUUUUGAGUUGUUUAUUUAUUUUUUGUGUUUAUGUUAUUAUUUUGCUAGAUCUAUGGAUAUCUGCACAAAUGGCUUACAAUGUAACUAAAUAUGUGUACUCUUAGCUGGUGUUUCUUUGGUGCUGUUCUUCUGGCUGGUGUGUGUUUCUUUGGUGCUCUUAUGUAGGUGAUAUGUCUUUUAUUUUGGUUUCUGUCGUUUUGGAGCUAAUUUGCGUUAACUUGCAGAUUAAUGGUACCCUCCCUCACGUCACUCCUCUCCCUUCACCUUUUCUACGCAUUCUCAGUCUCGCCAUUGUUUAUCAGGUAUCAUCAUCAACACGUUUCUUCUUCCCGUCUCUCUUCCAUUCUAUUCAUAAAUAGUUUCUCUAACUUGGCUAUUUUACACUUUUUUUCAUAAUUAUGGAACGCAUGCUGGAAGCACUAUAGGUUGGAAAAUGAAAGAAAGCAUCCACAUAAAUAAAUAUAAUGAACUAUUUUUUAGUGUUCAAUAAUGUUCUUGAGACAAAUAAAUGAAAAAUUAUGAAAAUGAUUUCAUAGUCUUCUAUCAAAAUUUCCCAACAAAUUAAGAUGUAGAUUACAAAUAAAUGAUUUACUAAUGUAAAUGAUUUCAUAGUCUUCUACCAGAAUUUUGAAGUAAUUCUUCUUCUUGAUGCCUACUUGCUGUAAAUCUUGAAUAUAUCAUUUCUUCUUCUUUAUACAUAC